rnacentral:rRNA from 1 species
CAGUAGCCGCGGGAAUACGAAGGGUGCAAGCGUCAAUCGGAAUUACUGGGCGUAAAGCGUGCGUAGGCGGUUUGUUAAGUCUGUUGUGAAAUCCCCGGGCCCAACCUGGGAAUGGCAAUGGAUACUGGCAAGCUAGAGUGUGUCAGAGGAUGGUGGAAUUCCCGGUGUAGCGGUGAAAUGCGUAGAGAUCGGGAGGAACAUCAGUGGCGAAGGCGGCCAUCUGGGACAACACUGACGCUGAGGCACGAAAGCGUGGGGAGCAAACAGGAUUAGAUACCCCUGUAGUCCCUGUCUCUUAUAC